GACGAACGCUGGCGGCGUGCUUAACACAUGCAAGUCGAACGCUGAAGCUCAGCUUUUGUUGGGUGGAUGAGUGGCGAACGGGUGAGUAACACGUGAGUAACCUGCCUCCUUCUUUGGGAUAACGCCCGGAAACGGGUGCUAUACUGGAUAUUCACUGGUCUUCGCAUGGGGGUUGGUGGAAAGGGUUUUUCUGGUGGGGGAUGGGCUCGCGGCCUAUCAGCUUGUUGGUGGGGUGAUGGCCUACCAAGGCUUUGACGGGUAGCCGGCCUGAGAGGGUGACCGGUCACAUUGGGACUGAGAUACGGCCCAGACUCCUACGGGAGGCAGCAGUGGGGAAUAUUGCACAAUGGGCGCAAGCCUGAUGCAGCGACGCCGCGUGAGGGAUGGAGGCCUUCGGGUUGUGAACCUCUUUCGCUCAUGGUCAAGCCGCAACAAUGGUUGUGGUGAGGGUAGUGGGUAAAGAAGCGCCGGCUAACUACGUG
rnacentral:rRNA from 1 species